rnacentral:rRNA from 1 species
UGAUAAACGGCGGCUGUAUCUUAAACGGUCCUAAGGUAGCAAAAUUCCUUGUCGGGUAAUCUCCGUCCUGCAUGAACGGUGUAACGACUUCCCCAUUGUCGCUAGUGUGAGACUCCUAAUAAAUAGAAUUAUCCAUGAAUAUGUGGAAUCAUACGGCCCGACGGUAAGACCCUGAGCACCUUAACUUCCCUAAAA